UAUCCUAACCAUGCGAGCCCUAAGAUUGAAGGGAAUUAACCUUAGACAUCUUGUCCUAAUAUACUUCUUACAUUAGCGUAUUUAAACUUAUAUUGACUUGCAUCCCCUGCGAACUAAGGAAAGGGCUGAUUAUUCUCCGUUGCGUUCAAGAGGAAAUUCAGAAUCCAAAACCCUACUUUCCACCAAUUGCAUAAAGAUUUUGAAAACAAAUAUGGCGGAUGCUUAUUGGAGGUACGGCGACGGUAGGCAGCAGGCGGCUGCGCUUCCCCCGCACAUGGUGAAACGACCCCGUACUGAUUAUGAGAUGCCUAGUGGACCUGACAUGUCCAGCUACUAUGCCCGUGACGAGGACAGGGCGGGACUGCGUGUUGUUAGAGAUACGGACACCAUUAAUGCAUCAUAUGAUCGAUACCUUCGCAGUGCGCAAAUGCCAUCAUACGCCAGUGAGUCUGGACGAUCUAUGAGCAGUGGACUCGGUGGACAUCAUCAUGUUGACGAUCCACGUGUGUUAGGAAUGGGAGGUUCAGAUGCAGCAGCAGCUGCAAAAAGCCGAUCUAUGGGAGGACGGCCUGAAAUUCCUCUUCCUCCUGAUGCUAGCAGCACUUUGUUUGUGGAGGGCUUGCCUGCGAAUUGCACUCGCAGGGAAGUUUCUCAUAUAUUUCGCCCAUUUGUAGGCUAUAAGGAAGUAAGGCUUGUAACUAAAGAAUCAAGACACUCUGGUGGUGAUCCCCUGGUGCUUUGCUUUGUUGAUUUUCAGAGUCCAGCUCAUGCAGCCACGGCAAUGGAUGCUUUACAAGACUGCUGCAAGAUGAAGUUAGCAGCUUGAUGAUUGGAACUAUUGCGCCAGCUUCCUCGAGCACCUUGCAGCCAUUUUGCAGUUGCACACCUUCAAUCAAAGUCAAGAUUGCAUCCAACGAAGCUUCACAAGCCGAGGCAUCUUGUUCCCCGAGUAGCAUCACGAGUGGCCUCACAGCACCUGCCUCCAGAAGGCAGAAUGAUGUCUCGGUGCUGCAAAUGCCCAAGUGGACAGCACAGAUACCUUCAGAAGGUGCAAAGCAGCAGCUGAGGAGACUAUUGGUUUUCACUGGUAUGGUCAGUUUGCUAGAACUUUCUGAUAGCUGCUUUAGUGAAAUGGCUGCGUUUCUUUUCGUAGGAGGGGCUCCAGAGGCUAGCAGUUUCACUAGAACAGGAAUGAUGCCUGCUUCAGCCACUCUCUUCUGCUGUUCAAGAUUUGAGGUGGCUGUAAAACGGCAAAGGGCUUCAGCAGCAUUUUCGACCACCUCUUUUUCGUUUUUGAGACAGUCGAAGAUGACUUCAAGUGCACCACACUGUGAAAGGUCCUGAGACAUCUGAGAAUUGUGCGGGAGGCGAGAGAUUAUGCCCAUGGCAGCAGCUUUCUCAUCUUCACUAUCAGAAGUCUUGAUGAUUCUGAUCAGUGUUGUGAUGCACCUCCUGUUCACAUGUUCCUCGAAAGUCUGAUGAUCGCCAUCUUCUGUCAGAUAACAGAGCAGUUUCACAGCAUUUGCCCUCACAGCAAGGUCGUCAAGCUCGCAUAAAUGGACCAGUAUUUUUACAGCAGAGAUCUGUUGAAUAACAAUAUGAAACGAAGAUAUGCUAUCAGCAAUUCAGCAUCACACAUUGGCUUCUAAUAUUUCAUGUGGAAAAAGGGAAAACAGACUAUGUUGAUUUGAAAGAUGAAUUUGCUGAAGAAACAGUAGUUUUCAAAACUGGAAGUCUACCUGUCUCAACUCCCUCCUGACGUCCAAACCAGAAGGCGAUCUGCACAGGGCAUGGAAGGUGAGGAGAAGUGUUUCCUGCAUUUCAGGCCCGGUAUAUGAAACGAGAGAGAAUAGCUUGAAAAUAUCUUCUUCAGUUUCCAUAAGUCGAAUCUGAUCCUCAGAAGCUUCCAUGGAUGCUGUGGACAUUGCCAAAUGCAUGAUUGUCUUUGCCACAUGUAGGCGCAGUUUGGAUGCCGCGUGGCAAAAGAGCAGUUCAAACAGCGGGGUUUUGGCUCCUUGCUUGAUCAGUUGCAGGCCAUUCGGUGCCACACCUGAUAGGUUCUCUAGAGCUCUAACGGCUGCUGAUUUAACCUCUAUAUCGUCAAGCUCAAGCAUCUGAAGAAGAGCCUUUAGUGCUCCACCUCUAGAAAGACACUGCUUGUCGUGAUCAGUCAGCUCAAGAUCGGCUAAUGUAUCUGCCAUGAUUACUUGUAGCACGACUGUACCUUCAAAAAGACGCUGCAACAGAGGCCCAAAGAAUUUCGCCCUUGCCAUCCGCACGACGUUCUGAUCAAGAAAAGCAAGAGUGUCGAGAAGCUCUUGGGCGUAUUUUGAAGCUUGAGCAUCAUCACUGUUUGCUAAAGUGACGAGAAGAAGUAUGCCGCCCUGCGCGUCUCCAAUGAGAUUCCUUACAUUCACAAUUCUCGAAAGUUCCAAGAUCAACUGCAGUGCCAACAUGCUUUCUUCAACUUUACGUGCAAGCGAGUAAACAACGUACGUGAUGCUGUCUUUAACAUUAGCAAUGGCCUCCUGACACAAGGAACACAGAAUGGCUAAAGCAUGCAAUCUGAUCUCACUGUUUUUAGCAUGAAGAAGAGCUGUAACUAUCGGUUUCAUGGAAGCAAUAGUGAUCAUGAUGUUCCUGUUCUUCCACUCCUCAAUGGACUGUCGGAGAGUUCUAUUGGGGCGUACAGACAGUUUGGUCAAGGGGGUCUUAGUCAAGGGACACAAGCCAUUCCCCAAAGCUAACCACUUCUCGAUGGCCUCUCUCUCAAACGUAUAACCCGAUGAUGUCUCUACUGGAUCCCUCAUGAUAUCCGCAGUGAUGGGACAGUAAAAUGAUUGGAGAGGCUCCAGCAGCUGUCUCCCCAGUGAGUUACGUUUGGUGAAGUACUUCAUCUCCUUCUCCUUUGGAGUAGUAACCACAUCUGCAUUUUCGAGCAGUAGAAUGAUCUGCUCCAUUCGAAGCGCCUCGUUUCUUGACUGUAUAUCAUUCUUGAAAUUCUCAAACUCCUCCUUCAGAUCAUUCUCUUGAGAUGGAAUCCCCAAAGAUUCAGCAAUGAGAAGGAGCAGAUUGCUUGCAAAAGAUCGGUCAGUAGUCCUGUCUUGUACACCGGUUUCAAUCUUGUGCAGUAUCUCCUCCUCCAUGGGAGAGAGGUGAUACUGAGCUUCUUCCAUAUUCUUGCACAGAUUCAGAAGCCAUUGAUUCGUCUGGGGCGAGACAUCCAAGGAUGCCAACGGGAAGAGCGCCAUAGCCCUACUCAUGCUCUUGCUCGUGCUCUCCAUCUUCUCCACAAUCUUCUUGCCGCUCAAGAGGAGGUAAAUCUUGUUGCCAUUGCUGCACUCUGCAGCCAGUUGCUUAGCUGCUUCGACUUCCGAUUGAAGGCCCUCGAGAGCCCGGUUCACGCUCUCGGAGUUCUUCACUUUGAAUUUGGAGAGCUCUUGCAGGAAGAUGGCCGUUUUCUCGAGUGAAGCUGAGAAUUUCUUGAAAUUCUCCUUGUGCACCAAGGCUUGUCUUGCCAAGGCUACUGCUUGAAGCAUGGAUUCAGCUGUGUCGACGAGAGACCUGUGGUUUUCCAUACCACUAUUCACUUUCUGAGCAUCAAACCUCUAGAGGAUUGAAUUAUGGCUGUCACUGAAAAAUCAACAACAGCAAAAUAGAAAGAGACCAAGAAAUUGUUGCAAAAAUUUGUACCUCUCUUGGAUCAGAGUCGAUGGUGGCAAUUGGAAUUUCUGUAUGGCUGAAAUUUGCGUACGCGGUUUUGGAGAAAAGUGUGUUUUUUCUUUGUUUUUGGAAAUUUAUGUUUUGAAGAAGCUCUGUGAUCAGUAGUAUUGACAUCUGAAUUCUCAAGUAUGGGAGUCAACGUUUGAGUCAAUGGUGACGAUUUUUCAUGUC